GACAGAGGAUGCAAGCGUUAUCCGGAAUGAUUGGGCGUAAAGCGUCUGUAGGUGGCUUUUUAAGUCCGCCGUCAAAUCCCAGGGCUCAACCCUGGACAGGCGGUGGAAACUACCAAGCUGGAGUACGGGAGAGGAAAGUGGAAUUCCUGGUGUAGCGGUGAAAUGCGUAGAUAUCAGGAGGAACACCGGUGGUGUAGACGGCUUUCUGGACCGACACUGACGCUGAGACACGAAAGCGUGGGUAGCAAACAGG
rnacentral:rRNA from 1 species